rnacentral:rRNA from 1 species
AGAGUUUGAUCAUGGCUCAGAUUGAACGCUGGCGGCAGGCCUAACACAUGCAAGUCGAACGGUAGCACAGAGAGCUUGCUCUCGGGUGACGAGUGGCGGACGGGUGAGUAAUGUCUGGGAAACUGCCCGAUGGAGGGGGAUAACUACUGGAAACGGUAGCUAAUACCGCAUAAUGUCGCAAGACCAAAGAGGGGGACCUUCGGGCCUCUUGCCAUCGGAUGUGCCCAGAUGGGAUUAGCUUGUAGGUGGGGUAACGGCUCACCUAGGCGACGAUCCCUAGCUGGUCUGAGAGGAUGACCAGCCACACUGGAACUGAGACACGGUCCAGACUCCUACGGGAGGCAGCAGUGGGGAAUAUUGCACAAUGGGCGCAAGCCUGAUGCAGCCAUGCUGCGUGUAUGAAGAAGGCCUUCGGGUUGUAAAGUACUUUCAGCGAGGAGGAAGGCGUUGUGGUUAAUAACCACAGCGAUUGACGUUACUCGCAGAAGAAGCACCGGCUAACUCCGUGCCAGCAGCCGCGGUAAUACGGAGGGUGCAAGCGUUAAUCGGAAUUACUGGGCGUAAAGCGCACGCAGGCGGUCUGUCAAGUCGGAUGUG